rnacentral:rRNA from 1 species
AACGAACGCUGGCGGCGUGCCUAACACAUGCAAGUCGAGCGCGAAAAGGGCAACCUGAGUAGAGCGGCGCACGGGUGCGUAACACGUGGGUAAUCUGCCUUAGAGUCGAGGAUAACCUUCCGAAAGGUUGGCUAAUACUCGGUAAGCUACGGUGUCUUCGGACGCUGUGGGAAAAGUAGGCCUCUGUUUACAAGCUUACGCUCUGAGAUGAGCCCGCGGCCCAUCAGCUAGUUGGCGGUGUAACGGACCACCAAGGCAACGACGGGUAGCUGGUCUGAGAGGACGAUCAGCCACACUGGAACUGAGACACGGUCCAGACUCCUACGGGAGGCAGCAGUGGGGAAUUUUCCACAAUGGGCGAAAGCCUGAUGGAGCAACGCCGCGUGUGUGAUGAAGGUUUUCGGAUCGUAAAGCACUUUCGACUGGGACGAAAAACCUUUGGCUAACAUCCAGGGGCCUGACGGUACCAGGAGAAGAAGCCCCGGCUAACUUCGUGCCAGCAGCCGCAGUAACAC